rnacentral:rRNA from 1 species
ACUGAAAAUUUAGCUCCAACCUUACCUAUGAAACACAUAAAACUCAUCUUAUUUUAUAAAACAUUCUAACAUUCUAGUACAGGUGAUUGAAAAACAACUAAAAGCUAUACAACAGUACCGUAAGGGAAAAAUGAAAUAAAAAUGAAACAACUUCAAGCACAAAAAAGUAGAGAUUAAUCCUCGUACCUUUUGCAUCAUGAUUUAACUAGUCUAAUCAAGCAAAAUGAUUUAAAGUUUGGCCUCCCGAAACUAAGCGAGCUACUUCAGGGCAGCUUAAUGAGCAAACCCGUCUCUGUUGCAAAAGAGUGGGAAGACCUUCAAGUAGCGGUGACAGACCUAACGAGCUUAGUGAUAGCUGGUUACUCAAGAAAAGAAUUUAAGUUCGACCUAAAAUUAGUCUAAUACGAAUAAACUAUAACCUUAAUUUUAGAGCAAUUCAAAUAAGGUACAGCCUAUUUGAAAAAGGACACAACCUAAACUACUGGGUAAUUUAAAAUGAUACUUAACAAAGUGGGCCUAAAAGCAGCCACCUUUUAAAAAGCGUCAAAGCUUAAUUUAGUCAUUAAUUAAUCUCAUCAAUAUUCAAGAACCCUUAAACGAUACUGAGUAAUUCUAUACCACUAUAGAAGAUUUUAUGUUAAAACUAGUAACAAGAAUAAGUACUUCUUAAAUAAUGCAAGUGUAAAUCAGACAGAACAUCUCACUGACAAUUAGCACCAAUGAAAUAAAAGUAGCAACUCAACAAGAAAAUUCUACUAGAUUAUGUGUUAACCUAACACAAGAGCAUUCCAAAAAAGAUUAAAAGAAAAAGAAGGAACUCGGCAAACUUUAACCUCGCCUGUUUACCAAAAACAUCGCCUCUUGAAUCAAAUAUAAGAGGUCCAGCCUGCCCAGUGACUCUGUUCAACGGCCGCGGUAUCCUAACCGUGCGAAGGUAGCGUAAUCACUUGUUCUUUAAAUGAGGACUAGUAUGAAUGGCAUCACGAAGGUUUUACUGUCUCCUUUUUCUAAUCAGUGAAACUAAUCUUCCCGUGAAGAAGCGGGGAUAAAUUUAUAAGACGAGAAGACCCUAUGGAGCUUUAAACCAUGUAACACUUGCACCAAUUUAAUGUAAAUUCCAGAAAAAUCUAUUUUACUAAUGCAAGAACAUUACCAGUUUUAGGUUGGGGUGACCGCGGAGCAAAAAACAACCUCCACAUUGAAAGGACUACUCUCCUGAGCAAAGAAUAACAUCUCCAUGCACCAUUAAAAUGACAUCAAUUGACCCAAUAUUUUGAUCAACGAACCAAGUUACCCUAGGGAUAACAGCGCAAUCCACUUCAAGAGUCCCUAUCGACAAGUGGGUUUACGACCUCGAUGUUGGAUCAGGGUAUCCCGGUGGUGCAGCAGCUACCAAAGGUUCGUUUGUUCAACGAUUAAAACCC